rnacentral:rRNA from 1 species
GAUGAACGCUGGCGGCGUGCCUAAUACAUGCAAGUCGAGCGAACAGACGAUGAGCUUGCUCCUCUGACGUUAGCGGCGGACGGGUGAGUAACACGUGUAUAACCUACCUAUAAUACGGGGAUAACUUCGGGAAACCGGAUCUAAUACCGGAUAAGAUAUUGAACCACAGGGUGCAAUAGUGAAAGACGGUUGUUCUGGCACUUAUAGAGGGAUCCGCGCCGCUUUAGAUGGUUGGGAAGGUAACGGGUUACUAAGGGAACGAGGCGUAGCCGAACGGAGGGGCGGAUGGGCCACACUGGAACGGGGCCGCGGUCCAGGGUCCUACGGGACGGACCAGUCGGGAAUCUUACGCAACGGGGGAAAGCAUGACGGAGUAAGGCGGAGCGAGUGAUGAAGGUCUUCGGAUCGUAAAACUGUGUUAUUAGGGAAGAACCAAUGUGUCAGUAACUAUGCACGUCUUGACGGUACCUAAUCAGAAAGCAACGGCUAACUACGUG